GAUGAACGCUAGCUACAGGCUUAACACAUGCAAGUCGAGGGGCAGCACAGUGUAGCAAUACAUGGGUGGCGACCGGCGCACGGGUGAGUAACACGUAUCCAACCUGUCCCAUACUCGGGAUAGCCUUUCGAAAGAAAGAUUAAUACCCGAUGGUAUCAGAUUGAGGCAUCUUGAUUUGAUUAAGAACUUCGGUAUGGGGUGGGAUGCGUUUCCAUUAGCUUGUUGGCGGGGUAACGGCCCACCAAGGCAACGAUGGAUAGGGGGUUCUGAGA
rnacentral:rRNA from 1 species